UUUGCUUCCCAACUAAGCAGGCGCUGCAAACAUCUUUCUCGUGUAUCACCUGAGGCAUCCCUACUACGAUCUCCUUGUCUAGCAUAUUCUUCAUGACUCCAAAGUUCACAUGUCCUAGCCGCGAAUGCCACGUCCAUGUAACAUCAGUUUCUUGUAUUUGAAGACACUUCUGAUAUUCAACCUCUAUUGGUGUCUUGUACAAUCGGUUUGGUUUCCUUGCGACUUGUACUAAUAGCAUUCCACGGGGAUCUUUCAGCAUCAGUAAGUCUCCUUUCAUAUUAACCUCACAACCCAUCUCGGUUGCUUGUCCAAGACUUAUGAUAUUGUGUUUAAGACUUGGGAUGUAGUAAAUAUCUUUGAGUG
rnacentral:lncRNA from 1 species